GACGGGGGAUGCAAGUGUUAUCCGGAAUCACUGGGCGUAAAGCGUCUGCAGGUGGUUUCCUAAGUCCACUGUUAAACCUUGAGGCUCAACCUCAAAUCUGCAUUGGAAACUAGGAGACUUGAGUAUAGUAGGGGUAGAGGGAAUUUCCAGUGGAGCGGUGAAAUGCGUAGAUAUUAGGAAGAACACCAGUGGCGAAGGCGGCUCACUGGUCCGGUACUGACGCUGAGGUGCGAAAGCGUGGGGAGCAAACAGG
rnacentral:rRNA from 1 species